UCCUUAACCCAUUGAGCAAGGCCAGAAUUAAAACCACAUCCUCACGGAACCUGCUGAGCCACAAUGGAAACUCAACACUUUCUUAUAGAAUAAAUAUUUGUGUUAGAUGAUUUGUGUCAGAUGAUUUUGCUCAACUGUAGGUCCAUGUAAGUGUUCUGAGCACAGUAAGGUAGGCUAGGCUAUGAUGUUUGGUAGGUGAGAUCUAUUCGAUGCAUUUUUGACUUACAAUAUUUUCAAUUUACAGUGGAUUUAUCAGGGUGUAACACCAUCAUAAGUCAAGGGAGAUCUGUGCUCUUACUUGCCCUCACUUUCCAGGUGAAAAAAACAAGGUUUUAGAGAUGAUAUUGACCCAAAGUUAGUAAAUGUUGGGACCCAUAUUUGCACAGAGAGUUUGAAUCCCAGAGCUCAGGAUCUUGUACUUUUGCUCACUUGCACUUAGGAAAAAAACAAAACAAAAACUCCCUUUUAUUGGGAUGUUCAAAAAUAGAAAAUGAAAAUAAGUAGAUGUAAGUCGAUCUCAGAGAGAGGGCUUAGUUCUCCUGCCUCGCAUCUUUCCCACAUUAGAGUCAAUUCAACUUUGAAAAACAUCAUCUAGGAUGGUCCAGUUCCCCACCAUUCUGCCCUUUGUUGAUUUUUUGACAUCCUAAGAGGCUGGAACAGUUGACCCUAUCUCUUAGCCCAGGUACACUGCUUCUUUAGGUCUCACUGGAGACCGAAGCUAUGGCUCAGCUGUGUUUUUCCUGUAGAAAGCAGGGUUGGAAUUCUGCAGUGGAGAGGCAUCAUUAGCCUUACUCCAGGAAACUUUUGGGCCAUUGGGCACUGCCUUACUACCUCAAGCUGGAUGACCACCCCCCCCCCUUCAGCCACAGGCCUCAAUUCUCCUUGGACUAGGAUCGAACCCACACCUCUGCAGCAACUUGAGCCACUGCAGUCCCAUUCUUAACCCACUGUGCCAUGGCAGGAACUCCAUUUGUCUGCUGUUUCUAUGGGCAGUCGUGGCUGGCAUUGGUCUUGGUUGACAUUGACAUUGAUUUAAAACGCCAGAAUUGAUGGAAUUAAGGGGGAAAUUGGGCCAUUCCAUCAUCAGAUCCUUCUUACCAGCUGCAAGUCCUGGAGUUGCUUUCACAGGGAAAACCAAAAGUAGAACAUUCAAAAUCAAGAUGUGGCUUACACUCUCCAACAUUUGUUUCCAUUACACCUUUAUAUCGCUGAUGAAUAUUCAUUUAAAACUACUCCUCUUUUACUUAUUCUUUCCCUCCUUUUCCUCCUCUCCCUAGAUCAGUUUGCCUAAUGAAAGACAAAUCAUUAAAUAAAGAGUCUUCUAAAUAGGUUGCUGGAAGCCACUUUACCAAAUUUACUCACUGCUUGAAUCUUUUAGUUCACUGAGCAGUUUUAAUGAACUAUGAUUGCAUUUUAAGGAACGUGGAAUUUGUGUCUGUCUCAACCGUUUUUCUGCUGCUGCCAAUCCAUGUGAAAUAAAAAAAAAAAUCCUAGAAAAAGAUAAAAGGUCAAAGCUGACCCUUAUGUAGUGUUAAGUGCUAAUGGCACAAAAUACAGAGAGUGAGCUUGAUUUUGUAAACAUAUGUAUUACAUGCAUUUCCACAAAUAUGCCUGUAUGUGAGAUAAAGAUAGGAAAAUGUCAACUAAGAGUGAUGUAAGUACUGGUUGCAAUUGCAGGUGAUUGACUUUUAUUCUUGAGUCUGUUUUCCUUUUUCAUGUUUUUCGCAAUGGAUGCAUAUUGUCUCUGUACUACUAAAAAGGGUUACCACAGGGACUGGUACGCCUUAAAUAUAACUUCUGGAACUGGACCUGGACAUGCCAACGCUGCCUCUCACCAGCUGCAGGACUUUGAGUAAAUGAAAUUGAACUACCCUCUUCCCAGCAGGUGUUCUCGCUUGAUACACGCGGGUAAUAAAUUUCUUACUGGUUAGGAUUAAAUGGCACCAUAUGUAGGGUCUCAGGCACACUCAGUAGGGAUUCCUUGAUUAGGGAACCGAGCUCUGAGCUCAACCCUGGAUCCAAGGCAGUGUUUGAGAUCUCAGUGCCUCAGGGGCUCUCCCUGCUCUAACCCACGACCCUGACCUACAAUCCCGCCGGGGAGGGAGCCGCUGCCUCCUCUUGCCUUCGCACCUCGGUGGCUGGGGUGACUCCUUCUCCCCGCGGCCUCUUGAGGAUGAGGUGCAGUCUCUUCCCAGGCUCCACGAGUUUUCGGGGCUCAAAGAAACACCAGCAGCGUCCCGGGAGGAGAAAGAGGGUCCCCCGUCCUUUGGGGCCGCGCGGGACCCGGCUGCGGGGGCUGGACUCCCCGCUACCCAUUUCCGAAAAGUCGCCGCAGAUUUUCGGCCACCAGAAGCCGCCUAGUGCAAGGAGGCAGAGCCACAGAUGGAAGGAGUCUGGAUCCCUGAGUCAAUGCUUAGAAGAAGUCCACCUGGGAGAGCUGCCCAGUCAACAUCAGGAUCUUAACCAAGGCAUCUGGCAGUUGCAGUGCAGAGUCAGCAGAAACAGUUCAGUUUUCUCUUUGCUGUCUGGCAACAUCUCAAAUUUGAAUGAGUUCUCAAUCCCCAACUGUGCUUUUGGAAGUCUUCCCAAGCACAAGAAGUCUGCUAAAAGACCAGCAGUCUUAAAACAGCAUGAAAUUCUACCCCAGGAGGCCUGAAGAAAGACUACUCAAGUGAAAACACCAGGAAAAUAAUAUUCUUAUGUGUGGGGUACUUAAAUACCCAGAAACAGUACUUCAUAGAUAGCUCGUGAUGAAACCAUACCAAACGUGAAAAACAACAACAAAAACAGACUGCAAAAACAGCAUGUGCAGAAUGAUCCAUUUCGGUAGGAUACAGGCUAUGUAAAAAUACACAGAUCAUUUAUUGUUUGCUUA